UACAGAGGUCCCGAGCGUUGUUCGGAUUCAUUGGGCGUAAAGGGUGCGUAGGCGGCGAGGUAAGUCUGAUGUGAAAUCCCGGGGCUCAACCCCGGAACUGCAUUGGAUACUGCCUUGCUUGAGUACUGGAGAGGGAACUGGAAUUUACGGUGUAGCAGUGAAAUGCGUAGAUAUCGUGAGGAAGACCAGUGGCGAAGGCGAAUCUCUGGACAGUAACUGACGCUGAGGCACGAAGGCUAGGGGAGCAAACGGG
rnacentral:rRNA from 1 species